UCUCCGUAGGUGAACCUGCGGAGGGAUCAUUACUGAGUGAGGGUUUAACCGCCCGACCUCCAACCCUUUGUGAAUCGUACUCGUUGCUUCGGGGGCGACCCUGCCGUCCGCGGCGCCGGCGCCCCCGGAGACCAUCAAACACUGCGUCAAUUUGCGUCGGAGUCUUGAUUAAAAUCAAAACAAAACUUUCAACAACGGAUCUCUUGGUUCUGGCAUCGAUGAAGAACGCAGC
rnacentral:misc_RNA from 1 species